AUAUCCCUAUACUUUGUCAUGUGAAACACUAAGCUUCCUUUCUCUAACGUCCCCUUUUCAGAUUUACCAGUUUCUUCAGCUUUGAAGGGGAACUAUACCCUGAAAGUGGGCUUCUGGGGGACUGAUGCGCUGCUGAUUUUAUUGUCUUCUUCCAUUUCCUUAUUUUUCUUUUUUAAGUUUAGAGAAAGCAAGUUCUUAGGUACAACAAAGUUCUCCAAAGGCUAAGUACAGCUAUUCUGAGAGGAACAUCUUUUUGUAAGAUUUGGAAUAGCUACUUCUGAUAGAUUCAGCGGAAGCAGGAUAGCAUUUGAAGACCCAGAGAACACAAUCCUAAUCAUGGGUGCUCAGUCCCGGUGGACACAUCUCCAACAUAGCUACAGCCCAGUGAACAUUGCAGAAGAUGAGGAUUACAUGAGUCUGGAGAUCAGGGAAUCUGUUAUCGGUUUGUGACUCCUGGAAAUGACAGGAAAGCUACGUCUGUGAUACCUCAAUAGGAUGGCUGCCUAAAUAAGACCUGAGCAAUGACAGUACCAAUAAACACGCUAAUGU
rnacentral:lncRNA from 1 species